UGAACAAACAUUAUUGAUUCUGUAAUGAAAAACAGAUGGCAGUUUACUAUUCUUAUACAUUAGUGAGUUUACAUUGAUCAAUAUGCACAAGAAUUGCUUUAUUACAUUUCCUACCAACUUUUGCUCUUUGAACCUGUAAGACAGUUUGUCCUAAUUUCUUUAGAAUAACAUAAGGUCCUUCCCAACCUGCCUGCCAGGGACCUGGUGUUCUAAAUGAUUUUACCAUCACUUUGUAUCCUGGUUUAAAUUUAUCUGCAUAAUUCCCCUGAGUUACAUCUUUAACCCAUUGUUUACCAGAAGGGGCCAUAUUCAAAGCAGCAAACUUCAAAACUGACUGCAGCUGUUCUUGUAACACUUUUAACCAUUCAGCAUGUUCUGCAGCAACUUUGAAACUACUUGGAACAAAAGGUUCAUUGGGGAAAGUAAUUGGCAUGGUUCUGCCUGUCAUUAACUCAUGAGGUGACACUUGCGUUUUGGAGUUUGGAGUUGCACGAAUAGACAUUAAAACUCCUGGUAAGUGUGUUACCCAACUACUCCCUUUAUCUUCAAGCAUUUUUUUCAAUCUAGAUUUCAGUGUCCUAUUCAUUCUUUCCACUAUGCCGGCCGACUGUGGAUGAUAUGGGACAUGAAAUCUUUGUUGGAUCCCCAACAAUUUACACAUCUCUUUAAGUACUUCUCCAAUGCAGUGUGGACCAUUGUCAGAUUCAAUGAUUCUGGGAAAACCCCAUACAGAAAAUACAUAUUUCCAUAGCGCCUUACAUGUUGUUAACGCUGUACAAUUGGUAAGAGCUAUACAAUCCCCCCAUUUGGAGAAUAUAUCAACAAUUACCAAUCCGUACUUUAGUCCUCCUGGAGCUAUAGGUAAUGGUCCAAUAAAAUCAAUUUGUAUAGAGUCCCAUGGUCCUUUUGCCAAAGGUACUCUCUGCAAUUUUGGUUUCUGACCUUUAGGUCUGGGAUUAAAUUGAGCACAUAUGAGACACUCCUGCACUAUGUUUGUACACCAUUGUUUCAAAUUAGGAUGAUAAAAUUUAUUUUGCAGGACCUUAAACAGGUUUUCUGUACCCAAAUGCCCCAGUGUACGAUGAUUGAAUACAAUCAACUCCUGCAAUAUAUCACUAGGUACAAAUGGUACAAACGUUUGUGUUUCCUCAUGUUUAAUCCCGUACAAGCCAGUUUCAGUAUCUAAAUCCAUUGUUUCUUUACUGAAAGCUACAUCUUUACUCUGAUUUUCUUUCAGAUCUUGUAGGGGAUUUGAUAUUGGUCUUUUACUCACAGUUGCAAUCAUUACAUUUUCUGAGUAUUGCAACUCUCCUAUUAAAGCAGCUUCCUUUGCUCCCUGAUCUACAAGUCUGUUUCCUUCUGCCAUUUCAUCCCCAUUUUUCCUGUUUUGAUGUGCUUGAACUUUCACAACAGCACAAGUUAAACCCUUUUUUCCUGCAUAGUCAAACAGUUCUGCCAAAAUACCUGCAUGUUUUAAAGCUUUGUCCUGUGAAUCUACCAUCCCCCGUUUUCUCCAUAUUGGGAGAUGAAGUGUUAAAGCUUUAACUACAUAGCUGCUGUCACUGAUUAUAUUCACUGGGUCAUAUGCUGUUAUUUCCAGAGCUUUCCUUACAGCCUCUAACUCAGCUCUCUGAGCAGACAUAUGGCCUGGCAAUUUAUAUCUCUGCAUUUCUUUUGUUUGAUCGUCAUAAAUGGCAUAACCUGUAUGAUGUGAUCCAUCAGCAUAAAAUCUUGUACCAUCCACAUACAAACAAG